rnacentral:rRNA from 1 species
GAUGAACGCUGACAGAAUGCUUAACACAUGCAAGUCUUUGGCGAAGCUGUGCUCGCCCAGCCUAGCCAAGGCGGACGGGUGAGUAACGCGUAAGGAACUUGCCCUGCAGUCAGGGAUAACAGACGGAAACGACUGAUAAGACCUGGUAAAGUCAGGCGGACUCAUGUCCAGCCUGAUGAAAAGAGAUGCUGCAGGAGAGCCUUGCGUCCUAUUAGCUUGUUGGUGGGGUAACGGCCCACCAAGGCGAUGAUAGGUAGCCGGCCUGAGAGGGUGGACGGCCACAAGGGGACUGAGAUACGGCCCUUACUCCUACGGGAGGCAGCAGUGGGGAAUAUUGGACAAUGGGGGAAACCCUGAUCCAGCAAUUCUGUGUGCACGAUGAAGGUUUUCGGAUUGUAAAGUGCUUUCAGCAGGGAAGAAAAAAAUGACGGUACCUGCAGAAGAAGCGACGGCUAAAUACGUG